GACGAACGCUGGCGGCGUGCUUAACACAUGCAAGUCGAACGAUGAACCUCGAAAUGAUUUCUUCGGAAAGAUUUUUGAGAGGAUUAGUGGCGAACGGGUGAGUAACGCGUGAGCAACCUGCCUUAGACAAGGGGAUAGCCUCGGGAAACCGUGAUUAAUACCCUAUGAGACUCCACUUACGAGUGUAAGAGAAGUUAAAGCUAUUGCGGUCUAAGAUGGGCUCGCGUCUGAUUAGCUAGUUGGUGAGAUAAAAGCCCACCAAGGCGACGAUCAGUAACCGGCUUGAGAGAGUGAGCGGUCACAUUGGAACUGAGACACGGUCCAAACUCCUACGGGAAGCAGCAGUGGGGAAUAUUGCACAAUGGGGGCAACCCUGAUGCAGCGACGCCGCGUGAGCGAUGAAGGAAUUCGUUUCGUAAAGCUCUGUCCUUGGAGAAGAUAAUGACGGUAACCAAGGAGGAAGCACCGGCUAAAUACGUG
rnacentral:rRNA from 1 species